UCUGACAAUACCUAUCAAGAACUUGGCAGAAUUUUUUGAAAACAUUGAAUUCAACAUCUGACAUGACUUGACACUUGAAUAACCUGCUAACUUGGGAAUCUCUUGAACUUGAAAAUUUUUGCCUUCGAUUUAAAUAGGACCACGAUUUUUGGAAAGAACAUGAUCUGAAAUCUCUUUGACCAAAAUUUCAGCUGUGUAAAUUGAUUUUUCAAUUUUUGACAAAUUAUUUAAAAUUCAAAAUUGACCAUUUUCAACUAUUGGAAUGCUGUAAAAAAAAAAUGCAUAGGUAGGUGCCUAUGUACUUAAAUUUAUUCGAUAAACAUGAUGUAAAUUAAUUCUGAAACCAAUAUCAACUCCUCGAAUCGAAUUUUACAAUUUCUGGGCAUUCUGUAGUCCCUCUCUCGUAGUUGUCAAUGUAUACAGCAUUUUUUAAAGUGCUGCAGAAAACGUGGAAGUAUAUUUGGGCAGUUGGAAAUCGAGCUGUGUGGUGGUUUAUUCUCUAUUCGUUUAAAGUAUUUAUCAACAUCUCGAAGGUUUUCCCUGGAAACUGGAAAGAGAUCUCUGGCUUCAUGCGGUUUCAUUUCGGAGGUUUCCUCCCGUCCUCCGGCAUGAAUGAUGAAACCUUGUGCCGGCUGGCCGACUCAGAAAAUCCAUUAGCAAUGUCUGUCUUUGAUAUCGAAAUUAAAAAUCGUCUAUCUGAUUGGCGAAUAGUUGCGCAAUAAAUAUGCGAGGACGAUGUGGAAAUGUAUUGUAUAGGUAGGUAAGCGAUAAGCCAGAAUUCGAAUUGUCUUGUACGAGUGUCGAGUAUAUUCGUUGCUUACUGUGCGUUCGUGAUCUUCUGUAUGUUAUCUGCUACCUACAUCUGCUUCUGAAAAUGGUUUGAUAACGUGAUAGCUACUAGCUAGCUAGGCAUUGUGCGUUCAGUUUUCAAUUUCCAAGCGUUGCUGUGCUGUACUUAUUGAUUAUUCAUUGUUGUGUAUUUAAAAAAUUCAGUUUUUCGAUCAAAUUCCUGCCCAAACCUUAUUCGAAGCGGUAAAAAAGAAAUACAUUAGGUAAAAGGUUUUCGAAACGUCUCCGUAAAAGCUGGCGAAGUAGACAUGUCGAGCGAUACUCUUGUGACGAAAUGUGAAAGAAAAAGAAUCGCUAAAAACUGCUGUUACACGAAGUUGCAUAAGAAGAAAUGCUGUUUCUCGUGGACAAUCGAUCGUUAUUCGAGUCUCGUCCAAAAAAAACACGAAACGAUCAAAUCAUCGCAGUUUACAGCCGUCGGCGAUGAUUUAAAAUGGUAUUCAGAUCACCGUGUUUAUUUGAAGUAUGAAUUUCGACUAUUUCGAAUUUUUGUUCUAUACUUACCUUACCUAUACCAUCUAUGUAUUAGUUUACUUCCUCCCUGAAUUCGAUUGACUGUAUUAUAGUAGGUAUUAAUCCAAUAGUUGUGAAAUUAAGUGAAUUAAUUAACGAUCAUGGUUAAACAAAAAAUGAGCCAUUUUUUCGUUUAUUUUCUUACUUUGUCAAUUAUUGAAUAAAAAAAACUUAUAAUCUCAGAAAGAAAUUUAUGACCAAUUCUAAAUAUUAUAGGCUAUACCUACCUAUUUAUACGCUAUUAUACCCUUUUAUCAUCUUACACGUAAGAUAUGUAAUAGACUGGCAAAAUUGAUACAUAACACGACAUUUGAAAAAUUUUGAAUGCUUGUUCCAGUGGAUGUAGUUGGUAUGCUUCGUUCAACUUACGAGUAUAUUUUGAUUGCGACGAAAAUGUUGAAACGUACGGUAUUAUUACUGGAAGUGCUGAAAUCUCUUUCAUGAAGCCUGAUGGUCAGAAAAUUAAAACCCAAAAUGCUGGUAUUACUGACAUUACCCCUAUGAAAAAUCCACAGAGGAUUUUGAAUUUUGAUAUGAGUGUUGAGAAGAUGAAGGAAUGUACGUUUCAAGAUGAAGUGACGAUCUUUUGCUGCGUGAGCUACUGGAAAGCAAAUGACAUCGUCACCACUUCAUCACCGGAUCCAAAUCUUUUCGAAAUUUCGGAAUCCAGCAUCUCGCAAGACUUCGAACGAUGUUACCUGGACGACUACUUCAGUGACGUGACAGUCUCGGUCAAAGGUAAAAAUUACCCAGCUCAUAAGAUCAUUUUGGCUACUCGCAGUUCGGUUUUCAACACAAUGUUCAGAAAUAAAAUGCAAGAAAGCCGGAAUAACCACAUCGUAAUCACAGAUAUCGAGCAAGAGCCCUUCGAAGAAAUGUUGCACUACAUUUAUACCGGAAAAACAAAGAAUUUAGACGAGUUGUAACAGACAUGACGAUACAAAAAGUAGAAAUCGUCAUUAGAUAAAUUCAUUUAUAAAGAAAACAUGAAAAGUACAUGAAACAAAUAGAUAUUAUAUAAAUUUUGCGAAUUCGCGUACAUAAAAAAAUUAUAAGAAAAAGUACAUGGACGAACCAACGAAUUGAAAAAGAAUGGAAAAAAAAAGACAAACUUUUAGCGAGUACAUAAACAAAAAUCAAAAAACCGAGCGCGGCCAAAUAUUAUUGAGAAAAUUCGCGAAUGCCUCGAAAAAUUGGAAAAUUUAUCGGAUAAGUUUGGAAUCACAAUUUUGGCCGUUGCAUAUGCCCCCUGGCUAAUUCAAAUUUCUCAAAGCAAGCUUGGAGAAAAUUGAAUUGAACAUAGAUGAAAAUAACAAAAUUGUGAAAUAAUAAUAAACAAUCAAAAAUUACCUAAAUUAAUUUUAUCGCGUUGUAAAUUAAACAAAACAAUAAAUUAAAAAAAAAAACAAAAAAUAUAUAGGACAAUAAUUAAGUAUGAGGAAAAAGAGACAAAAAUUGGGAGACAUCAUGGAAAAAUAAAAAAAUAGGAGAAGAGAGUGACACCAACGUGAGACUUGCGUAGGUGGAAAACAACAAGCCUGCACCAUGGUCUGUCACCUUCUCUGGAAUGUAAGGCUUGGACAAAAGUCCCUCACCCCAUUCCAGAGAGUAGGAAAGGAAAACAAAGGAAAACAAAAAGAUAAGUAGGAAAAAAUAGGAAGAAAAACUGGAAAGUUGGAAAAUUUGAUCACAAAGAUGUGCAUAGAAAUGCCACUAAAUCAGAAAAAAUUUAUCAUUUUCAUUUCGAGAAUAAAAAUUAAUUGAUCAGAAAAAUCAAUAUCUUCGAGCAGUUUGAGCGAAUAAAUUUACAGAGGAAAGCGAACCAUAAAGAUCUAAAAAACGUUUUUUCCUUUUGCGUUUCAGGGAAAUCAAAAUAAAUUUCAAAAUCAAUUGAUCAUCGAACAUUUUAUUAUAUCCACAAAAAUUAUGAUCCUGCAAAGGUUUUACAAAAGAUACAGACUUGCCCCCUGCAUGAGAAAAUGCAGUAAAAUAAGAGA